GAGGAAUUGGGUGCCACUGGCAAUGAUGGGAUGGAAGAUGAUUGGGGACCUUCAGGACUAGACCCAUGGACAAGCUGGAGGGAUGGGACGGGAUCCACAGCUGGGGAUGCUGUGGGGCGUAGUCAGAGGUGUUCCAGCUCUGAUGAGGAAAGUGAUGAGGAAACGCCCGGGUUAAGGAGGGCAGCUGAUAGUGAUGAGGACUUGUAACUGGCAUAAAAUGGGGUUUGGGAGCAAUUGCAAAUUGCGUUGGGCAAGGUAAUCUGGACGAACGCUUGGGAUCUGUGUGGGACGUUUUCCUGAAGACGGGUGUGUUUCGUGUGCUGACUACCUUUGACCUUCCGUCGUCUUCUUGACGGACGCCAUCUGCUACUCUGGAUUUACGGACUGAACUGACUACGGGCUCGGAUUCUCCUACCUGGACUUGGUGAACUACAAACGUCUGCUUCUGCCUUACGACCUUCGGAAAGAACUGGGACUACGCUACUGCUUCAAUCCUCGGCUGUUGUGUUUGUAUUGGAACCUUGCCUGCUGUGUGGAGGAGUAACUUCUAAGUUACUCAAAACAUAGUGCUGGCAGCAGAGAAGCAUCUGCUGCCAAUUAGUUACAUUCUUUUGAACUCUUUGUUCACCAGUUUCUGUUUUGUUUAUUCUCAGGCUGAAGCAAGCUGUUUUGAUUUUGCCCGGAUUAAACUCCGGUUUAAUCCGGUUUAUCUUUUGAAUGUUUUUCUUGCCCCUUUUUGCUUUUUAAGGCCAGCGUUGCCUAGCCCUUGUCUUUUACGGGCAUUUUGAGUUCUGUAAAUCCAAUAAACUCUGUUAUCUUUGA